rnacentral:rRNA from 1 species
AUUGAACGCUGGCGGCAUGCCUUACACAUGCAAGUCGAACGGUCACAGGUCUUCGGAUGCUGACGAGUGGCGAACGGGUGAGUAAUACAUCGGAACGUGCCUCGUAGUGGGGGAUAACUACUCGAAAGAGUGGCUAAUACCGCAUGAGAUCUACGGGUGAAAGCAGGGGAUCGCAAGACCUGGUGCUGCUAGCGCGGCCGAUGGGAGAUUAGGUAGUUGGUGGGAUAAAAGCUUACCAAGCCGACGAUCUGUAGCUGGUCUGAGAGGACGAUCAGCCACACUGGGACUGAGACACGGCCCAGACUCCUACGGGAGGCAGCAGUGGGGAAUUUUGGACAAUGGGCGCAAGCCUGAUCCAGCAAUGCCGCGUGCAGGAUGAAGGCCUUCGGGUCGUAAACUGCUUUUGUACGGAACGAAAAGCCCCGGGUUAAUACCCUGGGGUCAUGACGGUACCGUAAGAAUAAGCACCGGCUAACUACGUGCCAGCCGCCGCCGUAA